rnacentral:rRNA from 1 species
GGCGUGCCUAAUACAUGCAGGUCGAAGGUCUUUCUAUGGAAGCUUGCUUCCACUGAGAAGGUAGUGGCGAACGGGUGGAGUAACAACGUGGGUAACCUGCCCAUAAGAGGGGGGAGUAACAUCCGGAAACGGGUGCUAAUACCGCAUAGUUUUCUUGAUCGCAUGAUCGGGAAAGGAAAGACGGCCUUUGUGCUGUCGCUUAUGGAUGGACCCGCGGCGUAUUAGUUAGUUGGUGAGGUAACGGCUCACCAAGACGAUGAUACGUAGCCGACCUGAGAGGGUGAUCGGCCACAUUGGGACUGAGACACGGCCCAAACUCCUACGGGAGGCAGCAGUAGGGAAUCUUCCGCAAUGGACGAAAGUCUGACGGAGCAACGCCGCGUGAGUGAAAGAAGGUUUUCGGAUCGUAAAACUCUGUUGUCAGAGAAGAACAAGUUGGAGAGUAACUGCUCCAGCCUUGACGGUAUCUGACCAGAAAGCCACGGCUAACUACGUGCCAGCCGCCGC